rnacentral:tRNA from 1 species
CAUUAAGAAGCUAUGCAACAGCACUAGCCUUUUAAGCUAGAAAUAGAGGGAGUACUACACCCUCCUUAAUGA